rnacentral:rRNA from 1 species
GAAAGAUGAAUCAAAGAAGGUAAUAAUCCUGUAGUCGAAAACAUAUUCUCUCUUGAGUGGAUCCUGAGUACGACGGAGCACGUGAAAUUCCGUCGGAAUCUGGGAGGACCAUCUCCUAAGGCUAAAUACUCUCUAGUGACCGAUAGUGAACCAGUACCGUGAGGGAAAGGUGAAAAGUACCCCGGAAGGGGAGUGAAAGAGAACUUGAAACCGUGUGCUUACAAGUAGUCAGAGCCCGUUAAUGGGUGAUGGCGUGCCUUUUGUAGAAUGAACCGGCGAGUUACGAUCUGAUGCAAGGUUAAGCAGCAAAUGUGGAGCCGCAGCGAAAGCGAGUCUGAAUAGGGCGUUGAGUAUUUGGUCGUAGACCCGAAACCA